rnacentral:rRNA from 1 species
UCCAAAUUCUUAACGAUGGAUAUCUUGGUUCCCAUAACGAUGAAGAACGCAGCGAAGUGCGAUAAGCAAUGCGAAUUGCAGAACCGUGAGUCAUCAGAUUUUUGAACGCAACUGGCGCCGAAUGGCUCUCCAUUCGGCAUGCUUGUUUCAGUG